CGGCAGCAGCGCCGCCCAGCUCAGCCCGGGGGCAGGGACAGAGCAGAGGGAAAAGCCGGGGCAGUUCUGUCACAAGAAGCAACAGUGCACGCCCAGAAAAAUAGCUCAAGGCAAGGUCACCUUUCAUACUGAAGCAUUCAGUGAAUAUGACCAGCAGAGACCCCUCUUAAUGAAUCUGCAGGACCAUCAAAAGACUUCCAGGAGGAGAAGUAUUGCAACUUGCUGGAAUUCCAGAUUGUGUCAAAUAUGACACUUUGCAUUUGUUCAGCAGUUUCAUUGUGCUGCAAGAGGGAGCUACCCUGGGUCAGACAUGACAUUGGAGAUGGAGGCUUCUGAUAGCUGACUAAGAGGCCAACCUGGUGAUCCCAGUGCCUUUGGAGAUGGCUGAGGUGGACUCCUUUUGCAUCCAGUGUGGAUUCACAUCACUGGUCAUCUGAAAGCUAAGUUGGGGGCCAGGGCCCGGAGAUGGGAUGAUAGCAAGAGGGAGAGCAUGUAAACCUGAUAUGAACGGAGGAGACCAGAGGAGCACAGCAGCGAGGUGGUCUGCAGCAUUGAAAUUGCUACUCCAACAUGACAGACACCCUUGCAGAAAGAGGUCACAGUUGAGCAGUUUCAGGUGGAACCUACCUCGGCAAUGCAACACUUUUGGACACUACAUCGGCAUGUGCCUUUCCAUUUUGUUUUUCCUCUUCUCCCCUGGGAAGGAAGUAAACCUGGAUAUCAGCAGUCAAGGUUGAGUGAGUGAGGUGGCCCGCUUGUAUUAUGCCUGCAGGGGCUGAACCCCCUCAUGGACCAGCUGAUGGAGCCAGUUUAUCACCCUUGAGCUGCCCCUGUGAGCCUUCCAGAAGUAUUACAGGGCUCUGUGAUGAAGCCUGUACCUUUUCUGUUUGAAGGGAUACCCUGUGACGUCGGCCUCGGAGUGCGGCCACAGCGUGUGAGCCGAGGACCGGGGCGUUCUCAGGAGCCGUAGACUGAGAGAACAGCCCUCUGAG